rnacentral:rRNA from 1 species
CCGUAAACGAUGUCGACCUGGAGGUUGUGCCCUUGAGGCGUGGCUUCCGGAGCUAACGCGUUAAGUCGACCGCCUGGGGAGUACGGCCGCAAGGUUAAAACUCAAAUGAAUUGACGGGGGCCCGCACAAGCGGUGGAGCAUGUGGUUUAAUUCGAUGCAACGCGAAGAACCUUACCUGGUCUUGACAUCCACGGAAGUUUUCAGAGAUGAGAAUGUGCCUUCGGGAACCGUGAGACAGGUGCUGCAUGGCUGUCGUCAGCUCGUGUUGUGAAAUGUUGGGUUAAGUCCCGCAACGAGCGCAACCCUUAUCCUUUGUUGCCAGCGGUCCGGCCGGGAACUCAAAGGAGACUGCCAGUGAUAAACUGGAGGAAGGUGGGGAUGACGUCAAGUCAUCAUGGCCCUUACGACCAGGGCUACACACGUGCUACAAUGGCGCAUACAAAGAGAAGCGACCUCGCGAGAGCAAGCGGACCUCAUAAAGUGCGUCGUAGUCCGGAUUGGAGUCUGCAACUCGACUCCAUGAAGUCGGAAUCGCUAGUAAUCGUGGAUCAGAAUGCCAC